rnacentral:tRNA from 2 species
GCGGGUGUGGUGGAAUGGUAGACGCGGGGGUCUCAAAAACCCCUUCCGAGAGGAGUGUCGGUUCGAGUCCGACCACCCGCACCA